UUGGUUUGGCUUGUAUGAAAGUACAUACAGAAAUAGUUGAACUACUACUGAACCAUGGAAUAGAUAAUACUAAUAACACUAUGAGUGAUAAAAAUUGUACACAACUUCGUAAGGCCAUCAGUGCAGAAGGGCAGUGUGAAAGAGUUAAUAUUAAUCACACUAAUGAGGAAAAUGGUACAGCACUUCACAUUGCCUGUUCUAAAGGGCAUAAAGAAAUAGCUAAACUAUUAUUGAAGCAUAAAGCUAAUGUUAAUGCCUCUCAUAA